UUUUCCUUUUAUUUCCCGUUUCUUUGUCCUUAUAAUGCGAUGCUUCAAUGUCAAUUAUUUUUGUAAAACAAAAACACAUCUAAUACAUUUAUUGGAAUAAUUUGUCCUUGUCUAAAAUAUUUAAACUUUGAACUACGCUAGUCCUAUGAAUAAUCUCUAGCCCAAAAUGACAUGUUUAAAGCAAAACGUAAAUAAACCAAGUGACGUCAAAUAUUCCAAUUGACGUUUCCCAUAGCUUCUACCGCUUCAUUUUUGAGUACAACUUGUUCUAAGCAACAUCUCAGUCAACUCCUUCAAACAGAACAUUACUAAAUAGCACUGAUCAACUUGAACUUAGAACCAAGUCCUACUGAACUCUCCUUGUCAUGGCUGGCGAAAAAACCAUCAACUCUCAGAAAAAAGUAUGCGAAGGUAAAUUUCAACCCGAGAUCAAAGAGCUGCCUCCACUGGAAGAAUACGUAAGACCACCAUGUCCUGGGAGCGAAAAGACAGAAGGAAGUGCACCAGCAUCCCCUAAAGCUAAAGCAAAGACCGAUCCAAAAGCACCCAAAUCACCUACAGUUAAGGCUCCAGCCUCCAAAGCAGCCGGAAAGGGAACCAAAUAGACUAAUAGCUAGCCAGCCCACCGCGCAGUUUCAAAAAAUCAUUUCAACGUGGAUCUACUUUAAAGUCUGGAAUUCAAUGAUGUCAUCACUAUCAAAUUCCUCCAUGGGUUUCAUGCCGUACCUUUUACCAUCAGCACCAAACAAGCCAACGUUGACGUCCUCCCCAGAAUCUCCUAAACCAAACUCUUCCAUCAAGGGACUGUUAGUUUCAUCAUCUACUACAGCAAACGUAAUGUCUGGAAACUUCUUUGCGAUGGCAGCUAUCUUGUUUCUCCAAAACUGAGUGGCUAAACAAGAAGUAAAAACAAGCUUAGACAAGUUCAACAAUAAAACUGUACUCACCAAAUC